rnacentral:rRNA from 1 species
CAGCCGCCGCGGUAAUACAGAGGGUGCAAGCGUUAAUCGGAAUUACUGGGCGUAAAGCGCGCGUAGGUGGUUCGCCAAGUUGGAUGUGAAAUCCCCGGGCUCAACCUGGGAACUGCAUCCAAAACUGGCGAGCUAGAGUAUGGUAGAGGGUGGUGGAAUUUCCUGUGUAGCGGUGAAAUGCGUAGAUAUAGGAAGGAACAUCAGUGGCGAAGGCGACCACCUGGACUGAUACUGACACUGAGGUGCGAAAGCGUGGGGAGCAAACAGGAUUAGAUACCCGAGUAGUCCCUGUCUCUUAUAA